rfam:Cavia porcellus supercont2_59 genomic scaffold, whole genome shotgun sequence.
GCCCGGUGUGGUGGGGUAUGCUUGUGGUCCUACCUACAUAGGAGGCUGAGGCAGGAGGGUAGCGGUGAGUCCAGGAGUUCUGGGUUGCAGUGUGCUGUGUGGAUAGGGUGUCCACAGAAAGUUCAUCAUCAUUACGGUGAACCCCCAGGAGCAGGAGACCACCAGGUUGCCUAAGGAAGAGAGAACUGGCUCAGGUCAGAAAUGGAGCGAAUCAAAGCUCCCUUGCUGAUCAGAGUAUAUAGUAGUAUUUUCCACAUGUUUCAAAUAGUAAAAGCCAAAGGCUUGUAGCCCAGUAGUUGGAUUUUGCUACUU